rnacentral:rRNA from 1 species
CUGCAGCCCGAGUGGUGAUCGAUUUUAUUGAGCCUAAAGCGUCCGUAGCCGGACUAGUAAACCCUUGGGUAAAUUGGGCAGCUUAACUUUCCAAAUUCCGAGGGGACUGCUAGUCUUGGGACCGGGAGAGGUCAGAGGUACUCAAGGGGUAGGGGCUAAAUCCUGUAAUCCUUUGGGGACCACCAGUGGCGAAGGCGUCUGACUAGAACGGAUCCGACGGUAAGGGACGAAACCCUGGGGCGCGAACCGGAUUAGAUACCCGAGUAGUCC